GAAAAUCAAGAAAGACAAGCUUCUUUAGCGAGAUGUAGCAGGGUGCAAAGCUUUGUUAAUGAUGGAUUUCAGCAACGCCUCUUUAAUGGUAUGGUGGAUUUUGAAGAGAUGUAGAAGAAUAACAAGGUUUUUCAAUGGUGGAUUUUAGGAGAGAAGGAGCAGGGCAACAUGCUUCAUCAUAGUUAAAUUUUUGAAAAAUAAAUAGCUUCAUCAAUGGUAGAUUUAGAGAGAUAAAAAGGAUAACAAGCUUCGUCAAUGGUGGAUUCGAGUAGAGUUAUAGCAGACAGAGAGAGAAGAGUAAGCUGAGGUCUUCUGCGACUCGAGUCCAAUGAGGUUUUG
rnacentral:lncRNA from 1 species